UACGGAGGAUCCAAGCGUUAUCCGGAAUCAUUGGGUUUAAAGGGUCCGUAGGCGGUUUAGUAAGUCAGUGGUGAAAGCCCAUCGCUCAACGGUGGAACGGCCAUUGAUACUGCUAAACUUGAAUUAUUAGGAAGUAACUAGAAUAUGUAGUGUAGCGGUGAAAUGCUUAGAGAUUACAUGGAAUACCAAUUGCGAAGGCAGGUUACUACUAAUGGAUUGACGCUGAUGGACGAAGGCGUGGGUAGCGAACAGGAUUAGAUACCCGUGUAGU
rnacentral:rRNA from 1 species